GUUCAUAUUCCAAAGCGCUUCAACAUAGCAGUGAUGUUGUUCAUGGCAUGUCUCAUGAGUUAUAUGAUGCGUGUGAAUCUUAGUAUUAAUAUUAUCGCUAUGGUCGAACAUACGGAUCCAAAUGCCACCGAACCGCUCCCAAAUUACGGUCCGCGCUAUAACUGGACUCAAACAGACCAAGCCAACUUGCUUGGUGCUUACUUUUAUGGUUACAUGAUUACUUCAUUGCCAGCGGGUAUGCUGGCGGAGAAUUUCGGAGGCAAGCCAGUGGCAGGCUGGAGCUGCUUAGGCGCCGCCGCGUUAACAGCACUGACGCCGCUCGCUGCAGCAUGGGACAAAUGGGCUGUAUUUGCAAUACGUUUUAUGAUUGGUUUCUUGGGUGGUGUUAUCUAUCCCUGCUGUCACAAUUUGGUCUCAAAAUGGUCACCGCCCGAUGAGAAAGGAAAAUUUGUUGCUGCACUCAUGGGUGGCACAUUUGGCACUGUGAUAACGUGGCCCAUUAGUGGCAUGCUCAUCGAAGGCAUGGGCUGGGACUGGUCUUUCUACAUGGUGGGUCUCUUUGUUUUAAUUGUUACAUUGGUUUGGUUCUACAUGGUCGCAGAUAGUCCAGCACAACAUCAGUCUAUAUCAGUCAAGGAGCGCGAAUACAUUGAAAAGAGUCUAGGCAAUACUAUCACCACAAAGAAGAGGUGGCCACCAUAUAAAAGUCUGCUUGUCUCACUACCCUUCUGGGCGCUUCUGUUCUUACAUUAUGGUAGCAUGUGGGGCUUGUUCUUCCUAAUUACCGCUACACCAAAGUUUCUCAGUGAAGUGCUGGGUUUCAACUUGUCCUCUGCCGGAUUUCUCUCUAGUUUGCCGCAUUUGGCUCGCUUGCUGUGCGCCUUUGGCUUUGGUGCCAUCGCCGAUCUCAUCCGCCGCAAAAGUUGGUUGUCUGUCACGGCAAUGCGCAAAGUUUUUUGCUUAUCUUCGCAUGUUUUGCCGGGUAUAAUGCUUAUUAUAUUGGCAUAUUUCGGUCGAGAUCCAUACUUUUGUGUCGCAAUCAUGACGAUCUCACUGGGUUUCAAUGGUGCGGCCACGUCUUCUAACUUGCAAAAUUCACAGGAUCUAGCGCCAAACUAUGCGGGCACACUUUACGGUAUCAUAAAUUGCGUUGGCACUACGCCUGGCAUUUUCUCACCAAUGAUUGUGGCUGCCUUUACUAAAGAAAGCAACACCAUCGAUCAAUGGCACUACGUCUUCCUGAUAGGUGCUGCAGCCUACAUAAUACCUGCGGUGAUAUUUUGGUUGUUUGGAUCUGGUGAAAUACAGAAAUGGAAUGAAAUUGAUAAGAAAUCGCCAAAGAGUGAUACUAUUAACACAAAAUUGUAAAGAAAGUGAUAACCUAUCGGAUAUUCUGGUAUUAAGUAUUGUAAGUUUAUUUAUAGCGUAAGUUGUAAAAAUUCAUGUCAGUUGAACAUUUUUAAAAUGUAGGUACAUAAAUAUAUAAUUAUUAAGCCCAUUUGUAGGGCUAUAGCUGCGUAUAUACAUCUAUAUAUAGUAUAUGCUGAAGUGAUACACAUAGAUACAUGUAAAUAUGUACAUACAUAUCGUUAGCUUAGAGUGAAAAGUUGCUAAGUCCAUUUUUAUAGGAGGGGAUAAAUUUCCUAUAGCCAUUUUCUUCAAGUAUUUCCCCAAACUUUGAAUACAAUAUUUUGCGUGUUUAAGGCAAAGCAAAAGUCCAAACGAAUAAGAAGGAUUCCAUCUUUAUUAAAAGAUUUCUUAUUUUGACUUUAACGGAUUUUCGGUGCCUCUUUUGGGCUUAGCAAAUUUUCCUUUCAUGGAAUAUACUUAAACAAGAAAAAAUAAAGCAAGUACCUUUAUAUUUUUCGAAACGAUGCAUUCUUAAUUCCUCUAGCUUCCUAUAUCAAAAUAUGAGUUUUCAUAAAAAGUGGGCUUAGCAACUUUUCACUCUACGCUAGCGAUACAUACAUAUACAUACAUAAAAUCUACAUAUCGCACACAAUCUUCAAAAGUGACACAACUCAAAAUUUCACGUUCGUCAGAAAAUGCGAAAAACUAUUUCGUAGCACAUGGUAAUCAUAUGGGCAAGGGGACAUUACCUUAGGGUUUUUCAACAAAUUAUAGCAAACAUUUUCUCCAGCUUUUGCUCAAAGGUAAAUAAAAGCUCUGUGUAAAUUUUUAGUGCAUUAUUUCAACAAUGCCAAAUUUUGAGUGGAGUCACUUUUGAAGACCGUGUACGAUAUGUGCUCGUGCUGUGAGCUAAAUAAAUACUACAUUUAGAACUAAA